GUUCUGUGGAGCGGGAGUCAGACGUGCCAGGGCCAUUGCUCGGGGCCCAGGGCCAUCUGUGAUGGGCCAGCUGCCUGGGCACUGGGUCCGGGGCCAGGGUCCCGGCUCAGGUGCGAUUAGGGUCAAGUUCAUGUGGAACUGAGCUCAGGGGCUCAGUCUAUGAGGGGGAGGGUCGGUCAGGCGAGGUGAGGCUGUGCCGCUGUGACCAACACCCCCCAAAACUCAGCAGCGGAAGCAACAAACGCGUAUUUCUGCUCUGGCUCCAUGUCUAAUGUGGGUCUGCAGGAUGGGCUCCUUGUGGCCACUCAGGGACCCAGGAUGAAGAGGCCCCCUUCCUUGGCUGACCCUCAAACUCACAGUCUUGUCGGUCACCACAAGAAGAUAAACGGGUUCUGCUUCAGCCCCGAAAUGACACAACAAGUGGCUCUGUCUUCAGCCCAUUGGCCAGGGCCUCCAGGCAACCGGCCAGCGAUGGGGGGGUCUGGUGACAGCCCCACCUCCACCACAGCAGAGCAGCUCUCUGGCUCCUAUGGGCAGCAUCAGCCAGCCCGGGUGCCAGGAGGAGGCUCAGCCCUUUGCGGCCUGGCAGAGCUCUGCUGGGUGAGGGUCGCACUGGCGGGUCCACCCGUGCAGCCUCCAGAUGGGCGGGGUCCCCGCGCUGGAGAUCGGGCUGCCCAGGCAGAGCUGGGGCUCUGGCGCCCCCUGGUGGCCAUCCUGCGCCAUUGCACCUUCUGCCUGCCCCUCCCCCAGCCAGGUGGAGCGCUCAGCCAGGUGAGCUUUGUGGGCAGUCCCAUCUGACAGAUGUCCCCCUUCUCCUCCCAGCCAGCCCUUGCUCGUGGUCAAGUCCUAAGGACACCUGUCUCCUCGCGGGCACAGAGCCUCUCGUCCUAGGAAGCAAAGUCAGCUCAGCCUCUGCGCCCAGAGACCGCCUGGGGUGGGGGGCCCUUCGGUGGGUCCUGCACAGGACUAGGGUGCCUGCCUCCACCGUGCCGCUGACAAACAUGGGGCAGGCGAUGAGUCCUGGGCUGGCACUCAGGCUCGCACCCCUACGCUGGGUCACGGCCCCGCCUCCCGGGUUUCUCUGCAACAAGCGUGUUCACGCUCUAAGUCGCCCCUGAGUUUUCACCGCGAUGUGCACCGACACCAGCCAGCUCAGGAAGCAGGCCUCUCGCGGAGCCAACAGCCGUGAGGUCAGAGGAGGGCACUCCUCAGUCCUCUGCACGGCGGCUGACCGGGUCUGAAGUCCUCCACUUCAGCCUUAGGUCAUAAAGAAUGAGCACAGCUUCUCGCCCACAGCGGAGGCGGGUCCGUGCGCAGCGGGCGGGGCGGCGGGUUCCCCGACUCCCGGCUCCCCCGGCUGCGCGUUUUCCUUCGCGGCCCAGAUGACUGUCAAGUGCACUUUCCUUAGUAAAAUCUUGCAGAACUAA